GGAAAAUAAAGAUAUAGGAGAGGCCCAGAAACUGAAAGGCCCAUCAAAGACUCUUAAGAUCUUUGGGAACUGAUGAAGGCUCUUUUUAUUUUUGUAACAACAAUUGACAUAACCAUGUGCCUUGUCCUGUUUGAAGUGUUGCUCUGUGGAAUCUGCCCAAGAACCUUCAGUAAGCACUUUACCUCCUAGAUGACGUCCUAGAAGAUGGGCACUAUUAUUACUUUCAUUUUAUAGAUACAGAAGUUGAGUCACGGAGAGGUUGAGUAACUUGCCCAAGGUCACACAGGUCUGGAAGGAAAGCGUUGGCAUUGAAACCCAGGGUUCUUUGGUCCAUGAGCUUAACAGAUUGUAUUGCUUUUUGGUAGGGACAAGUGAGUGGGCGAGCAAGCUACUGAACAGUGAGCCUGGAAUUAAGAGCCUUGGCCAGACAGACACUGACAGCACUGGGAGGCAGCAUGCAGGAGCACUGCCUAUGCCCUCUGGGAUUGCGCUUCUGUACUUGGCCCUGACCGUGUGUGACGUCUCAGCCCUGGAAGGCUUUAAGGUCAGCUUCCACUUUCCUGGCCAGUGUUUGUGGUGCCUGAAUUGGGACCUCAGGUCAGGUAAAGUGGUUCUUACAGAAACUUGAGGAACCUGGCUAAGAUAGACUUUUAUUAUUCAUGGGAUUGAUUUUAACUGGCUAUAAAUCAAGGCCUGAGGUCCAUAGGCAAGCUGGUCUCUUUUUUAAAGGUAUCCUUCUUGCAGGAAUCCUACUGAUAGUAAUUUUACUGAAAGGCACUUCAGCCAAGAGGCAGGCUGUUCAAAACGGAGAAAAUAAAACAGGCCUGAGAUUGUUUUCCAUAGAAAGACCUGUCUGCAGGCUCAGCCCUUAGCUAGAUCUGGGAGCUUGGAUGUCAGGAAGCUUCUCACCAUCCCCCAAGUCACAAGAGUGGCACAGUGUCCCUGGGCUGUUUGUGCAAACACCGUGGUUUAUGCUGCACACCUGCUUUUGCUUUGGGAGUCUGGAGUUGUACUGUGUCAGGGAGGGGAUGAUGUGAUGGAUUGAUUUUUUUGUCUCCCUCUAAUGAGCUUCCCUGGUACACAGUAUUUCCCCCAGGGUGUCACAGUUCAUUGCUGAGGAGCUUUUGGUCCUGUGUGACUCACUAUGAGGGCACUCUGGAAAGUGUGCACCUGUUUCCUCUGGACUUUGCCCCAUGCACCUUGUUUCUCUGCUGGUUUUGCUUCACAGCCCUUUGUGGUAAUAAAUCACAGCUAUGAGCAUAAUACAGGUCAGGCCCUGUACCUCUCCCAGGGAAGCAUCUACUUGGGAGGAGGUAUUUGGGACCCAACAUGGGGCACUAGGUCAACUUCUGAGGUUGGUGGCAUCUUCUUAGUCUGGGUGCUGUAUUAUACAGGCUGUGUUCAUUUUGUGAAAAUUUACUGAGCUGUGUAAUUAAGAUAGGAACAUUUUCUCUAUAACUAUACAAAAUUUCAAUAAAAAGUUCAAGUAAAGAACCACACACACUAUGGGGAUUAAAAAUAACCCUUCAAUUUAUUUAUUUAUUUUUUGGUAUCAGGGAUCGAACUUGGGACCUUGCGCUUGCAAGGCAGGCACAGGAAUCACUGAGCUAAAUCCCCGGAAAAAACCUUCAAUUGAAAAAAAAACCCCAAAGCUUUUAAUUCAGUACUUAGUAAUGUCCCUUUGUACCAGGCAUUUUGCUUUGACCCUGGGACAUGGGCCGAAAAGCUAGCAUCAUUCUCAUCCUUGUCUUGUGUCGUAGCUGGGAAGCAGGUGAGAGUUUUACAGUAUGAUUGGCUUUUGCUCUAUCAAGGACUUCACAGGGCAAGUGGGAACUCAGAGGAAGAGCUUCCAGUUUGGGUGCUUUGCCAUUCUGAGGUUGGUGCUGCAGUGUCCACAGAAGCCAGACAGGCACGUGGGCAGAGGAGUAGGGGAAGGAUGGCCAACGGAAAGAGAGUGCGGGCCUGGAGGUGCUAGAUCUUCUGAUUUUUUUUUUUUUCAGAAAAAACUACAAAUUGGAAUUUUUAUGGGUGUUUUUUGUUUUUGCUGCCACUGAGCUAAAUCCCCUGCCCAGUGUUCUCUUUUUAAAUGCUGUAAGUGCAAAGUUUAGAAAGUGAGCGGUCAAACAGAACACCCCUGCAGGACAAGUUUGGCCAUGGCCUGGCAGUUUGCUAGGCGUCCUUCCUCGCCUCUGAUCAAGAAAUCAGUGUUCACUACUUAGGCACCUACCGAGAUAGAGCAGGGAGCAAGCCCAGCUAGGUUCUUGCCUGCGGCGGCGCUGGGGUGGGGUCCUGGCGCUUCUCAGACUUCAGUGUGUGGGAAUCACCUGGGCAGUCUUGUUUAAAGACGAAUUCUUUUCUCAGGUUUUUUUUUUCCUUUUUCCCUUUCUUUCCCCCUCCCAUCUCCCCAGUGCCCAUUCCCAUUUGAACUUUUUCUUCCUAUUUCACGUUAUUUAUUGUGGUCCUUAGUUUCUCAUACCAGAGAAACUUCGAUAUUUACACAUGUGUGUCCUAUUUAUUUCACUUAAAAAUAUGGUCUCAAUGUGCAUCCAUUUAGCUAUAAAUGUCUCUGGUUUAUCCUUCUUUAUGGCUGAGUAGUACUCCAUUGUAUAAAAAAUCCACAUCUUCUUUAUCCCAUCACCAGUUGAUGGGCACUUGGGCUGUUUCCAAGCUUUAGCUAUUAUAAACUGUGCCGCUAUGAACAUGGGUGUGCAUAUAACACUAUGAUGUUAAUGAUGAUGUUAAUUCUUUGGGGAAGAUACCCAGCAGGGGAAUAGCUGGGUCAAAUGAGACCUCCAGUCCUAGUUCUUUGAGGUAUCUCCAUACUGAUUUCCAGUGGUUGCACCAGUCUGCAGUCCCACCAAUAGUGGAGCAGGGUUCCUUUCUCCCCACAGUCCCGCCAGCAUUUGUUAUUGGUUGAUUUCUGCAUGAUAGCCAUUC
rnacentral:lncRNA from 1 species